ACACGACUACAUUAGAUACCCGCGUAGUCCCAGCCCUAAACGAUGCGCGUUAGGUGUAUCGGUGACCACGAGUCACCGAGGUGCCGAAGGGAAACCGUGAAACGUGCCGCCUGGGAAGUACGGUCGCAAGGCUGAAACUUAAAGGGAUUGGCGGGGGAGCACCACAACGGGUGGAGCCUGCGGUUUAAUUGGACUCAACGCCGGGAAGCUCACCGGAUAAGACAGCGGAAUGAUUGCCGGGCUGAAGACCCUGCAUGACCAGCUG
rnacentral:rRNA from 1 species